AGGAAUCGUCUUGAAGUGGACCAUUUGGACCUGCUGAUGCGCAUAAAGUCAAACCUGCAAGCAGAUGAGGCCAUCAACUUGGACGUUGCAUACAACCACGUGAGAAGGGCAGACGGGAAAAUUAAGGUGCACACGUCUCAAUUCCUCCAGAACAGGAACAACAAAGUGCAGCCACUGGAGAAGUGAGAAGGACACACAGGAAAAAUAAGACAAAGAGUUACAGGACUCUCCCCCAGACCACAGCAGGAGCUUCAC